rnacentral:ncRNA from 1 species
AGACCCCGGGGUGCACUGAAACUGGUGCUGAGAGUGCGGAGAUGCCGCAGACCCGAUUCACCUGAUCCAGAUCAUGCUGGCGUAGGGAGAGGUCCGA